GAUGAACGUUAGCUACAGGCUUAACACAUGCAAGUCGAGGGGCAGCAUAAAUCUAGCAAUAGAUUUGAUGGCGACCGGCGCACGGGUGAGUAACACGUAUCCAACCUACCUAUUACUCGGGUAUAGCCUUUCGAGAGAAAGAUUAAUCCCCGAUACGAUAUUGAGUUCGCAUGAAUUUGAUAUGAAAGAUUUAUUGGUAUUAGAUGGGGAUGCGUUCCAUUAGAUUGUUGGUGAGGUAACGGCUCACCAAGUCUUCGAUGGAUAGGGGUUCUGAGAGGAAGGUCCCCCACACUGGAACUGAGACACGGUCCAGACUCCUACGGGAGGCAGCAGUGAGGAAUAUUGGUCAAUGGGCGAGAGCCUGAACCAGCCAAGUAGCGUGAGGGAUGACUGCCCUAUGGGUUGUAAACCUCUUUUAUAAGGGAAUAAAACGCUCCACGAGUGGAGCUUUGCAUGUACCUUUUGAAUAAGGAUCGGCUAACUCCGUGCCAGCCGCCGCAGUAA
rnacentral:rRNA from 1 species